rnacentral:rRNA from 1 species
AUGCCAGGGGUCGGAUCCGCAACUCUGGCGCGGGGCUGGGGCACGAUUUGUCGGCGGGGAUCCAGUCGGCGUUCGUCGGCUUCGUGGUUCGUGCUCUUCAUCGCCGGCUGCCGCCGCGCGCGCCGCCUCGCGCUACUUUUCGUCGACGCCGCGGGACUCGCCACCCCGGACGACCAUAACCGCCACCACGCCGCCUACGCGAUGCCGCCCGGGAGGAAUCAGCAGCAGCCCACGGCGCAGCCGCAGAGGGCGGCCCAGCCGAGGCGCUGCGCGCAGUGCGGCGUCGCCAGCAACAAGAUGUGCGGCUUGUGCAGGCGUAUGAAAUACUGUUCUCGAGAAUGCCAGUUAAAGCAUUGGCAUUCUGACCACAAAUUCAAGUGCGAGCAAAUGAGAUUAUUGGAUCCUGUUGAGAACUUACCCUGUGGAGUUGAGGCCAACGGUAAGAACAAUGAGAAGAGGAAACAGAGGAGCAAUGAUUGUUAUCCACCCAACAAGAGGUCAAAGAAUUCAUCAUCUCUGAUGUUUGACACAGAGCAAGUCCAAGUCAAUGGUACUGGUGAUGAGGAUGGUCGAAGUCCCACACCAAGCUCGGCGGCGCCCACCAGAAACAGUCCGUUGGAGAGGAAGGCUGAGAAGGAGCUGAGAAAAGGAGGACAUGGUGUUGUGUUCCAGUCCGGGGUCCAAGAGAUGAUCACUGUAAAAAAGGAGAUGGAGGUAGAGAAAAAGCAAGAGAAGGGAUCAAGGGGGAUGGAGGUCAAGGCCAUGGAGGAGCGCAAGGUGGCAAUUGAAGAAGAGAAGUUGAGAGUCCUUAGAGAGGAAAUGUGCCUAAAGAAGAUGGAGCAAGAAUAUAAGAUCAUGUUCAUGGACAUCAGUGCGCUCAGUGAAACACAAAGAAAGUAUGUGGAACUAAUGCGUGCGCGGAUUCUAGCAUCAAGGAUGGGAGCGGGUGCUAUUCGGAGUAGAAAUGGGACUGAGUGA